GCCGGGUGUGGUGGUGCACACCUGUAAUCCCAGCUACUCAGGAGGCUGAGGCAGGAGAAUCGCUUGAACCCAGGAAGCAGAGGUGUCAGUGAGCUAAGAUCACCCCACUGCACUCCAGCCUGGUGACACAGUGAGACCCUGUCUCUA
ensembl:misc_RNA Metazoa_SRP Metazoan signal recognition particle RNA